UACAGAGGGUGCAAGCGUUGUUCGGAAUUAUUGGGCGUAAAGCGCGUGUAGGCGGCUUGGCAAGUCGGGUGUGAAAUCCCUCAGCUCAACUGAGGAAGUGCGCCCGAAACUGCUUUGCUUGAGUGCCGGAGAGGAUGGCGGAAUUCCCCAAGUAGAGGUGAAAUUCGUAGAUAUGGGGAGGAACACCGGCGGCGAAGGCGGCGCUCUGGGCCGGAACUGACGCUGAGGAGCGAAAGCGUGGGUAGCAAACAGG
rnacentral:rRNA from 1 species